rnacentral:rRNA from 1 species
AUUGGACGCUGGCGGCAGGCCUAACACAUGCAAGUCGAACGGUAGCACAGGAGAGCUUGCUCUCUGGGUGACGAGUGGCGGACGGGUGAGUAAUGCAUGGGGAGCUGCCCAAUCGAGGGGGAUACCAGCUGGAAACGGCUGCUAAUACCGCAUACGCCCUGAGGGGAAAGGUGGGGACCUUCGGGCCUACCGCGAUUGGAUGCACCCAUGUGGGAUUAGCUAGUUGGUGAGGUAACGGCUCACCAAGGCGACGAUCUCUAGCUGGUCUGCGAGGAUGACCAGCCACACUGGAACUGAGAACAGGACCAGACGCCGACGGGAGGCAGCAGUGGGGAAUAUUGCACAAUGGGGGAAACCCUGAUGCAGCCAUGCCGCGUGUGUGAAGAAGGCCUUCGGGUUGUAAAGCACUUUCAGUAGGGAGGAAGGGUUGAUGUCUAAUACGCAUCAGCAUUGACGUUACCUACAGAAGAAGCACCGGCUAACUCCGUGCCAGCCGCCGCCGUAAUAC